rnacentral:rRNA from 1 species
CGGGUUGAAAGCUUGCUUUCAAUGCCGGCGACCGGCGCACGGGUGCGUAACGCGUAUCAAACCUGCCUCAUACUCGGGGAUAGCCUUGCGAAAGUAAGAUUAAUACCCGAUGUUGUUGCUUUCUCGCAUGGGAGAGUAACCAAAGAUUUAUCGGUAUGAGAUGGUGAUGCGUCCGAUUAGGUAGUAGGCGGGGUAACGGCCCACCUAGCCUUCGAUCGGUAGGGGUUCUGAGAGGAAGGUCCCCCACACUGGAACUGAGACACGGUCCAGACUCCUACGGGAGGCAGCAGUGAGGAAUAUUGGUCAAUGGGCGAGAGCCUGAACCAGCCAAGUAGCGUGCAGGAUGACGGCCCUCCGGGUUGUAAACUGCUUUUAGUUGGGAAUAAAAAAAGGGACUUGUCCCUUCUUGUAUGUACCUUCAGAAAAAGGACCGGCUAAUUCCGUGCCAGCAGCCGCGGUAAUACGGAAGGUCCAGGCGUUAUCCGGAUUUAUUGGGUUUAAAGGGAGCGUAGGCGGAUUGUUAAGUCAGCGGUUAAAGGGUGUGGCUCAACCAUGCAUUGCCGUUGAAACUGGCGAUCUUGAGUGCAGACAGGGAUGCCGGAAUUCGUGGUGUAGCGGUGAAAUGCUUAGAUAUCACGAAGAACUCCGAUCGCGAAGGCAGGUGUCCGGGCUGCAACUGACGCUGAGGCUCGAAAGUGUGGGUAUCAAACAGGAUUAGAUACCCUGGUAGUCCACACAGUAAACGAUGUAUACUCGCGGUUUGCGAUAGAUUGUAAGCCGCCAAGCGAAAGCAUUAAGUAUACCAC